GACGAACGCUGGCGGCGUGCUUAACACAUGCAAGUCGAACGGAAAGGCCCUGCUUGCAGGGUACUCGAGUGGCGAACGGGUGAGUAACACGUGGGUGAUCUGCCCUGCACUUCGGGAUAAGCUUGGGAAACUGGGUCUAAUACCGGAUAGGAACCAUCUUUAGUGUGGUGGUUGGAAAGUUUUUUCGGUGUAGGAUGAGCUCGCGGCCUAUCAGCUUGUUGGUGGGGUAAUGGCCUACCAAGGCGGCGACGGGUAGCCGGCCUGAGAGAGUGUACGGCCACAUUGGGACUGAGAUACGGCCCAGACUCCUACGGGAGGCAGCAGUGGGGAAUAUUGCACAAUGGGCGCAAGCCUGAUGCAGCGACGCCGCGUGGGGGAUGAAGGCCUUCGGGUUGUAAACUCCUUUCGCUAGGGACGAAGCUUUGUUGUGACGGUACCUAGAUAAGAAGCACCGGCUAACUACGUG
rnacentral:rRNA from 1 species